GGCUGGGCUGGGCUGGGCUGGGCUGUGCUGGGCUGGGCUGGGCUGUGCUGGGCUGGGCUGGGCUGGGCUGGGCUGGGCUCUGCUGCACUGGGCUGUGUUGCACUGGGCUGUGUUGCACUGGGCUGUGUUGCACUGUGCUCGCUGGGCAGACCGGUGGUCAGGGGCAGCCAUGAGGCCGCCUCUCGGGUCGCCCCAGCAGCUCCACUCGCUCUGCGGCGUGUGGGGCCCCCGUGUGGUGGGCGCCGUCUCCCGCAGGCACUGCAGCUCCAACGGCCGGGCCGGGCGCCUUCCAGGAUUUCCCUUCAAUGUGUUUGGGCCUCCAGGGACCAGGAUCCCCCAGGGGAGGCCACCGUUUGGGCAAUUUGGAGCAGGCCUUGCAGACAGGGGACCCUAACGGUCCAGAGUCAGGGAGCAGGGGAGGAGGCCCGCGCCUGGAACGGGGCGCCCCUGUGGCAGGUCAUUCCAGGCUGGAGGCUUGGCGGGAAAGACUCAGGAGGUGGGGAGGGCAAGCUGGAGGUGACAGACAGGCUCAGGGCCAGGCCAGCUGAGACCUCAAAGCUAUCUCAGGGGACAGCGGCUCGGGCGACCCGAGGGCAAGGGGGAGGAGAAUGGGUGACAAGGGACCGAGGCCCAGAGGCUCAUGUCCUUAUGUCCUGGCCUUUCCCCACCCCCUGCACUGUGCUCUGGAUCCUGCUGACUGCGCCGGAUUAUCUGGAAAUAAAGGCCACAGACCCUGAAACGAAAGGGAAAAGGCAGCCACCUUGCGCGGCUAGCAUGCAGGAAGGAGAGAAGAAAGCGUAGGUCGUCCUACACGCGGGCAGAAGCCAGGCAGCCGCGGCCUCCUCCUGCGGUGGGGCACCCCCUGCCGUGAGAACAAGUUUUUCCUUCAUUUUCCCAGGGAGGCCCCUGUUUACGUCCCCGCCUCCCCCCAGCAGCUGUCUGGAGGGUCCCCCGUGGAGUCCCGUGGAGAGAUGGCGGGAACAGCAGCCCAAGCUCUCGCAUGCUGAUGCCGGAGAAAAGUGAGCCUGAGUGUCGGUCAUUCCGGGUCAGUUUCCCCAGGUGUGGGCUGCGUGCGUCCUUUGCACACGUGAGCCUCAGAUCUCUUCUGGCCAGGUAGGCUGUCUUGGCGUCUUACCUUCGGUAUCUGUUCUGUUCCAAUGCUUUCUUUUGUUUUUCCAGGAACUCCUAUUAGAGGUAUGGCGGUUCCUUUUCUUUCUUUUUUAAACACCUUGAUUGAAAUAUAGUUCACCUGUCAUAAAAUUCACCCAUUUCAAAUGUACAGUUCAAUGGUUUUUAGUGUAUUUACAAGGUUGUGCAACCAAAGCAUCACCGUCAUCUUCUCUUAGAACAUUGUCAUCACCCCUAAAAGGAACCCAUUAGCGCCCCCCGCCCCUGGCAAACACCUGUCUACUCUCUGUGUCUGUGGAUUUCCCUGUUCUGGACACCUCAUGUUGUUAACCGAAAUGAGCAGCUUUCUGAGACAAAGAUGAGUUUUAAAGAAAAGAGAGGCUUUAUUAAAAGUUUGCAAACCGGGAAAGUACACCUCAGCCCACAAGUUGAAAGGUGAGCCCCUCCCCCGGCCUAGGGGUGGCUGGGUUUUAUGUGCAAAAAGGGCAGAGUGUGCAAGGUCCAGGCUGAGUCCUGUUCUGACGAGUCACCCCUCGCAGCUACGGCGUGUCGUGUGCCCGGGGCUUUCCAAACGACAUCCCUGCAGGGAGAGACUGCCGCGUUGUUCUCCGGCUGUCUGGUGACGGUCAAGGUUAAAAUGGAAUUCUUUAUUUCCACCCACAGUUCAGCCUUGAGGCGGUCACAGUAACUGUCACGUCGACUCUGGCCUUGUUCUUAUCUCUUUCUCUUAUCGAUAUAAAUAGAAUCAUACAGUAUGCGGCCUUCUGUGACUGGCUUCUGUCACUUAGCCUCGUGUCUUCAAGGCUCUUUCGUGUUAUGCUUCACUCCUUUAUACAGCUGAAUAAUAUGCCAUUGUGUGACUACACCACAUUUUGUUGAUCAGUUGAGAACAUUUGGGUUGUUUCCACUUCUGGGCUAUUAUGAAUAAUGCUGCUGGGAGCGUUCCUGUAUGGGUUUUGUGUGGACGUGUCUUCACUCCCCUUGGGCAGGUCCCUGGGAGUGGAAAGCCUGGGUCAUACAGGAACUGUGUUCAACCUCUGAGGAACUGCCAAGCUGCCUUCCAGACCGGCUGCCCCCUCCUACAUUCCCACCAGGAGUGUACGAGGGGUCCGCCUUCCCCGCCUCCUCGCCAACACUCGUUACCGCAGCCGUUUUUAUCAGCACCAUCCUGGUGCGUGUGAAGUGCGCCUCCCAUAGCAGCUCUGAUUUGCGCUCUGCUGAGCGUGUUUUCAUGUGCAUGUCGGCGUUCAGACCUCUUGUUUUGGAGAAAUUUCCUCCGGAUCUUCAUUGCCUGUUUUCUGUACUUGCCCUUUUCUCUUGAAUUCUUUUCAUGUCUUUCUCACAAGGUUUUCUUUUGUGUUUAUCCGUUCUCAUAUUCCCUCUGGUUUAAUCUCAAUUCUGAAAUAAUUUUCGUUUCAUUGCUAAUUCUUUUCUAAGUUCCAUCACUUCUCUGAGUCUUUCUAAUGCUGAUGCACACUAUUUUUUCAUAUACUGUAUCGUUUUCUUACUGUCUUUAAGCUCCUUUUGAAGCAUUAGGUUGUGUCUUCGUCUGGGUGACAGCCAGCCUCCAACAGGCCCGUGAGUCCUGGCUCCCAGCAUUCCUGCUCUGUGCGGUCCCACCCACGUUAAAAUCAGCCUGACUGGUGUGUUCAGUAGCAAAGGGGGGACGACACACUGGCGACUGCUGGCGCCAGGUCAUCGAAGGCCCUGGGGCUUCCCACGGCGUCUGGGGGCACUCCCACUGGGGAAAGCGGCCGCCACAUUGUGCAAGGACACUCAAGCAGCGUCACAGAGAAGCCCACCCAGACCAGACCCAGCGCGCCCACCGUGUCAUCAGUCCCCUCGGACAGAGGCCCUUGAGCCCCAGUCAAGCCUUCAGAUGACAGCAAACCUCUGCUCACCCGAGAGCCAAGGCCGAGCUCCUCGAAUGAGCCGCCCCAACGCCAGCCCCCCGCAGCUCGUCACUGGUCGUAGCUGUUCUAACCCUCAGCAUUGGGGGCUGUCACGCAGCAGCAGGUAACCACACAAGCGAGUUUGUGGGCUUCUCUCCCAGCAUGCCGUCGUCUGCAGGGGUGUGGUCCUCCUCAGUGUCCUGUUUGUCUCUGACAGCGUCUCUGUGCAGGAUCUGCCUAUGAUUCACUUCCACUGCUCAUUUUCACACAAAAUCGCGUUUCCUGGGCUUUGGAAGGGAGGCGUGGUCCAGCGGACUCUCUAGUCCCCCGGCCUGGAGCUCCCUCUUGUGCUGCUCUCAGGAAGCGCUCCCCGACCCUGGGGCUCCCCAUUCCCUUCCUGCCCCCUCCUGGCCUGGACCCCUUUCUCCUCCGUCUGUGUCAUCUCUCUGCUGCCCACUUUGGGCCUAUUCCCGGCACUUUCUCCUCUGAGGGCCCACGGGGCCGGGCCUGACCCUGCUGAUGCUCCCACGCACCCCUGAGUGUAUCCACACCCCGCGUCAGCUGCUGCGGCUCAGAUUAGCUCCUGAGCGUUUGAGGAAGUCCUUGCCGUGACUUUGGAGCCCUCUGGCCCACUAGAUGCCCCCUGCUUCCUUCAGGUUCCUCCUACUCAAAGGUCACAGACGUCACAGCUGUCAGUGGUGUCCUCCUGCCCGCCCAGCCUUGGUUUCCCGCGUAGAGCUGGACUGUGGGACCUGGCAUUCUGAGGCCUGUCCCUGACCUUGCUGGGCCCCCCGCAGACAUUGACACAUCCACAACCCACGUGGAGACCAGCAGGCCCGGCACGCCCUGAGCAUUGUUAGCUGAGGUCACGUGUGUUAGAAACGGCAGGAUCUGCUCGUUUCCUUCAGGACGAGACAAGAACUUCUGCUUUUAUGGGCUGCCGUCUGGGAAGCCAGGGCGGAACCCGAGGCCCGGGGCUUCCUGCCCAGCUGUGGCUUUGAUGGCUCACGGGCAGACCCGCCAGUCCCCCGGCCCCCACCUGAAGUCAGCUGACCCGGGGACCUCCCCCCCCCACCUCCCCCAGACGCACAGGGGCGCCAUCCUGGCCACUGCUAAGUUCCAUCACCUCCACAUCACCCCAUGGCCACAGCACCCACUCCAUCACCAGCCAGGGAGGCCCUCCACUCCCAGUGACCCUCAGCUGUCCCCUGUCUCAUGUCAUGAACUUUGAGGGCCUGCCCUACCUCCCACCAAACCGGGCGUCCCUGGAGGACACCUCGCAGGGAGGGCAACGAGCACAGGCUCCAGGUUCGCAGGGCCCUGGGUUCAAACCCUGGCCUAUGUGCCCUCAGAAAGCUGCCACCCUCCCAGCACCUGCGCCCCUCUGUGAAGUAGGAGGAAUGCCCCCCUCGGGGGGCCCUCCAGGACCAGUUCAACGGACCCCAUCUCUUGUCAAAGAAAAUGUGCAAAGUCACAUAGCCAGAGCAUGUGCAGAACAGGAAAUCUUGACCUGAAGUGACCAUGGAACCACAGAUCCUCCUGCCCACGGAACCCGACACGACCGGAACUUGAAAGUCGGACUCUCAUCCGAAGCAGGGGGUCCCUCGUUCAGAAGAUCCGGUGUUAAAACUCCUUCCCCAGCUCAUCAAAAAUGUUUAGAACCCUGUCGUAAAUGUUAAAACCUUACCAUAAAAGUUUAGAACCUUACCAUAAAAGCCUGAAGCCCAGCAAUCAAAGCCGGCCCGCCAGCAUUUCCGCGUCCAGCCUGUCCUCGCCGAUCUCUUCAGCUUCACCCCAAAUCCUGAAGUGGGGAGACAGACCUGAGGACACACACCCCCUGUCCCCCUGCAGAUCCAUCUCGCAGCAUAAAGCUGAUCUCUUUUCCCAAAGGCUGAUGCUGUGAUUAACUGGCUGUUUAUCGGCAUCGGGCAGAGAACCCCAAUUUUGUGCAGUAACCUUGUGACUGACGUGAGCGCAGAGGCCCCUGCAGAACAGAGAGAACUCCAGAAGGCGGCCAUCCGUGCCGAGCUUCCCACGGUGCCAGGAACACGACCGCAGCGGGAAGCAUCCUGGUGGCACUGGAUCAAAUGGGGGACACUGAGGCCCGCCGGGCCACGACAGGACUUGCCCGUGUGGGUUCUGCAGUCCCAGCAGAUGGUGGCAGUGGCCCCUUGUGGCCUCUCACCCUCCACUCUGGCAUCCUCCCAAAGUUCACAGACGCCCUGGAUUCCGUCAUCAGUCCGUCUGGGUGUAGAGUUGACACCUGAGCGGAUGAGUCCUCGCCUCCUUUCCCUUUGGUCCUCGACUUUCUCAGACCCCUGACACCUGAAGGAGGCAUCUGAUCGCCUCCCGCCCACCCGCCCCGUGAGCGCGCCUCCUGGAUGCAUUUCUCCCGGCCGAGUCUUUCCUCCCGGCAGGUUUUCCGCGGGCCCGUGGAGCCGACUUCCCGGGCUCUGAGGACAUUUCUGCUGCUCCCUCGGAUGUG
ensembl:lncRNA